GUACCAGACUCCUACGGGAGGCAGCAGUGGGGAAUAUUGCACAAUGGGGGGAACCCUGAUGCAGCGACGCCGCGUGGGUGAAGGAGCACCUCGGUGCGUAAAGCUCUAUCAGCAGGGAAGAAGAUGACGGUACCUGAGUAAGAAGCCCCGGCUAACUACGUGCCAGCAGCCGCGGUAAUACGUAGGGGGCAAGCGUUAUCCGGAUUUACUGGGUGUAAAGGGAGCGUAGACGGCAUAGCAAGUCUGAAGUGAAAGCCCAAGGCUCAACCAUGGGACUGCUUUGGAAACUGUUAAGCUAGAGUGCUGGAGAGGUAAGCGGAAUUCCUAGUGUAGCGGUGAAAUGCGUAGAUAUUAGGAAGAACACCAGUGGCGAAGGCGGCUUUCUGGACUGAAACUGACGCUGAGGCACGAAAGCGUGGGGAGCGAACAGGAUUAGAUACCCUUGUA
rnacentral:rRNA from 1 species